rnacentral:rRNA from 1 species
GGAGUUUGGGCCGUGUCUCAGUCCCAAUGUGGCCGUUCACCCUCUCAGGCCGGCUACUGAUCGUCGCUUUGGUGGGCCGUUACCCCGCCAACAAGCUAAUCAGACGCAUCCCCAUCCUUAACCGACAAAAUCUUUGGUCCGGGUCAGAUGCCCUCGCUGGACCACAUCGGGCAUUAAUCCGGUUUUCACCGGGCUAUUCCCAAGUUAAGGGAAGGUUGGAUACGCGUUACUCACCCGUGCGCCGGUCGCCAUCAUCGGUUGCAAGCAACCAACAUGCUGCCCCUCGACUUGCAUGUGUUAAGCCUGUAGCUAGCGUUCAUC